AGAUCAUUCAUCAGGCAGUGGCUUGUUUGUAAGGAGGUCCACUGUUUCUGGAAAGGAAUAGGGCAAAUAAAUCAGGGAGGAAGCUGUAUACCAACUAGUACAGAAAUAUUUAUAAUUUAGCAACUGAUAUGGGCAUAUCAUCUGAACAGUAGCCCUGAUCUGGAUUCAGCCAAAACACUGGGUAGUUUUCUCUUCAAUUUUUAAAACCUAAAGGGUACCCUCCCUAGACAAAUGGGAACUUCUCAUCAUGUCUAUCCUUAUAAAGCAUGCUAUCCUUGGCAAUUCUAAAAGAAUAUUCUGUUUUUAUACCACGAAGAAUUAUGCCUUUUCUCAAUAAAGAAAACAAUACAUACUGAUAAUAUUUGGUAGGCUAUGCCUUCAGUAUGUAUCCCUUUAUAUCAUGCUUAUCAAAAUAUUUCAUAAGAGAUUUAUAGGAUUCAUAAUAUAUUUACCAGUUGAUUCCAACAUCUUAAAACCUUUUAAAGAUUGAGGCCCAAAGGAAUAGUGUGGGAUGAAAUUAAGAUCCAGUUUUCCAAACUUCCACUUUAAUUGCUAUGACUAUCACUAGCAUAUUUAUUCAUGCUAAAGUGACUGAUGUUCCCAUAGAUACUCUCUCAACUUAAAUAAUAUCUUGCAAUUAAAUUAGAUUCUUCUAUAAAACAAUAUCUGGUAACAGUCACAUUUAUAUGAUCAUUCAUAGGUAUAGUCAUAUCUGCUAGUUGGUAAAAAUAAGAGAACACUAUGAAAAUCAGUGAAGAAUUUCUGCAAGCCAUUAAGAAAUACUUAGGGAAGAAACUGAGGAGACAAACAGUUGGAUACGAGCAUCAGAGGUGCAUAUUUUGCAGUGGCUUUCCUGUAAGUCCCUUGAAGUCAGGAUUCAUUCAACAGAUUUUUACUGAAGCUACUAAGGCACGCUGGAAAUACAAGUAGGACAGGAAGAGAUUAUUCUACAGAUAUGAGGUUUCCUGAUGAACAGUUGUUGAUACAAGUGAUAACAAAUGGAAGUGGCGGGAAUGGAAAGGUUUAGUAGAGGAAAUGACUAGUCAAGAUUUUGUGGGUUUAAAUAUAUGAUGUUUGUAUUUGCACAGAAUCGUUUUACACCUACAUCCUCCUUCUGAUGAUACAUGAUCUUAUGCCAGUGCUGGUGUGUCAAUCAUUAAGAUUGAAAUGUCUAGACUGGACUGAUAUUCUCAAGGUUCUUGGCAGAAUGACUCACUUGGGUAUGAAACCACAUGCACACCAAACAAUCACACUUUAGUCCACGGUGAUAGCCUGGCAUUUCUCGACAUUUACAAUGUUAGAAGUGAGUAACCACAGAAUAGCAAGUUUCUACGCAUGGUAAUCUGAUAAAAUACUCAAGAAGAUGGAGAGAAAUUAAAAUGAGUUUAUGUCUCUACCCUUCUAGUCCAAACAUCCUUUCCCACUGAUAUGAUUGGUACUUGUGGUCAAAAUAGUGUCUACCACUUUUUCACUGAUUAAAUCACACCUCUGAAUUUCACUUACUCUGAAGCUUGCAAAUAUAUAUAUUCUCAGAUUUAAUUUUUCUGUCAAAAAUGCAUCUACAAUUGAGACAUUUAAAAACAGCUAGAAAAGAACUACCAACUCUACUAAAAGUUCAGAAAAAUGAAACACACGUUACUAUCUACAUUCAUGGAAUUUGUCUCACACUCAAAAGGUUAACAGGCAAGUAUAAUCAAACACCAGUAGGAAAAUAUAAGGAAUCCUUUUGAAGUUUGCAGAGAACAGCAAGCACUGUUCUCUGAAGAGGUAUGGUACACAGUGGUGCUAAUGCAUUUGGUUCAAAAUUUACACAAACUGAAUUAGGUUUUAUCUUUAAGAUGCAGAAAUUAAUCUGAACAAAUUAAUAAGUAAAUGUAAACAUUAUGUUUUUAGAACAUUAGAAAGCUAGGGAAUGUAACAAUAGUUACCAAGAAAAAAUAUAUAUGUAAACAUGGAAAACAUGUUUUUUAAAAAGGGCAUUUUAGGGCGGUGAAAAUACUCUGUGAGGUGAUUGUGAUUAUACGGGUCAUUGUACAUUUAUCAAACCCUUAGAAUGUCCAACACCAAGUGUGAAUCCGAAGGUAAACUGUGGAAUUUGGGUAACUGUGUCAGUAAAGCUUCAUCCUGGUAGAAAAUGCACCAUUGUGGUGAGUGACAUUGAUAAUGGGGGAAGCUCUGCAUGUGUGGGAGCCGGGAGUAUUUGGCAAAUGUGAUUACCUCCCUUUCAUUAUUUGUGUAAAGCUAAAACUGCUCUAAAAAUACAAAGUCUUUUAAAAAGGGGGGGCAUUAGAAGUUCAGAAAUGAAACAAGCUUCAGUUUUCUCUUCAGGAAAAUUUGAAAGAGCACAGAAGUAUCAUUUAAGUAUUUUCCUGUUAGAGAAAGAAUAGCAUUAUAAGAAAGUAAACAAAUAUACUAUUUUGAGAAAUGUAAUAUGCUUAUGUCUUCGCAUUUCCUUGUGAAUAGUUGUUUCCUUAGGCAGACUUGGGAUCUUGGGGGUGAUUAUGAGAGCCACAGCAGAGAAGUCAAGAAAGAGUGAGAACUUCCCAAAGGCAGUAUGCAGACAGACAGUAGUCUUGACAGCCAGACUUUGAGAGGAUUUCCUAAAAUCCCUCCCUUUAAAAUUUCUAGAAACUGGCUUAGCAAGAUUGAUCAUAGAGUUUUGGGGGAAAAAAAAGGUUUUAGCCAUAAAGAAAGAAGAAGAAAGAAAAUCUUACCCUGUGGUGCCAAGGGUUGAUGGGAAGAGAAAAGGAGGGGCAGGUAGAAGAAGGCAGAGACACACAUGGCUAGAUAUCUCUUUUCCAGGCUGCAGUCCUAAUGGGGAAAGUGUGUGAAAUAAAACAAGAUGCCCCAAAGUCUCUCAUUAAUCCGGGCCAGAUGGAUCAGGUGAACUUGGUGUUGGAGAGACAACCUGAGUCUGGCUUCCUCUUUCACCUGCUUCUUCUGUGUCACAGAUAGGAUCUACAGUGCCUGUGUUUCCUGACGAGGACAUGCACAAUUCUUCCUACCUUCUAGGUGCAUAUGAUGAAAACAAUCCAGGUGUCACCAAGAAAUAAACAGGCCAUGGUUUCUUUUCAAAUCUGAGGAUAGAGAGAGCACAAGCAGGAGAGGGGCAGCAAGAGCAGAGCAAAGGAUCUGAAGCGGGUUCCAUGCUGACAGCAGAGAGCCCAAUGUGGGACUCGAUCUUAUGAACUGUGAAAUCAUGAUGGGAGCCGAAGUCAGAUGUUCAACUGAGUGAGCCGCCGAGGUGCCCCUGGAAGGUAUUCUUAUAUAAAAAUUUCUAACAGGGAAGAAUUGGAAGUGAACUCAACGUCUAUGUAUAAAGGGACUCCUAAUCUGUGGUAUGGAAAAUAAGACAUCCAUUUAAAGGAAAGAGGCGCUGAUAAAGGGAAAAAAAAUUAGGUUUUGGUAUCAUGGUAGGUAUAUUAUGAUACAAUUUUUAUUUAAAAAAAGACCAAAACAAUACAUUUUCUCUACAAUUAUCAAUUUUUACAAAUGCAUAAAACAAAGUCUAAAGUACCCACAUUAACCUGAUGGCAAUCGUGGCCGUGUAGAGGGGGACUAGAAUUUAAUAUUACUAUCAUAGGUAUUUUAGCGCUGUAGAUAAUACUUAAAGUUUAAAUAACGAUAUCUAAAAAUGGAUAGGUUAUAGGUAGGUAGAUAAGUAAAAAAAAAUCAUUGUGGGGAAAAGGUGAUAAAUCCACAAUUUCUACAAAGGAAAUGACAAAUAUGAAGAUCAAAUGUUAUUGGAAAUAAAACAGCUAUCUGAUUUGACAACUGUGGGGAUGAGUUUGUUUUACAAGUUCAGCUAAAAUCCUACAGACUCAAGCAGUUUUAAUUUUUUCUGUUUUAGUAAAAUAAAAUGUUUUCAACAUACUCCAAAGGGUAAAUGAUUUCAUUUCAAAAUAGUUAAAUUAAAUAAGCAUGAUUUAUAGUGCAAAUCAAAAUAUUUAAAUCAUGCCAUUUCUGUGGUAUCUCUGGAGGCAAACUUUUUAUCCAAAUGUUCUUCUUUGUAGCUUAAAACAUAAUGUUAACCCAUAGUCCAUAUUAUUUUAAGUGUAUUUAGUGCCUAAAUAAGUUCUAGGAAUUUCUCUGCUCAAAAUUAGCCAAUGUUGACCAUGAGGAAUUCAAAAGCAAUAUUAACCCAAGGUCACUGAAAUGGCCCUAAGAAAACAAUUUUCCUAAGUGUAAACAUAUAGACCAAUCUUAUGCACAUUUUUAGAACUACAUGUUCUUUUCUAACUGUUCCUGGUCAUUUUGUGUAUGUUUGAGCUCUACCAGGAAUCCUAUUUUGAUCUCCUCAUGCCCAAAAAAGAUAGAAAUAAGGAAAAAUAGAAAGGAAAAUAAAAAACAACUGUGACUCAGAGCUUAAAUUGUAUUAAAAUUAAUGCCAGUAAAGAUUUUUUGGGAGAUAGUUAAUACUGGUGGGAAGUGAGAAGGGUCUUCCUAAAUACUGCUAUGGGGAGAGCAAUUUAACAAUGUGGGGCAAGAACCUUGACAAAUAUUCAUAUAAUUGCUCACACUGGAUCUAUGUCUAGGCAUUUAUCCUAAAAAAAACUGCAGCUAGAUGAAAAUUAAUAUCCUAUUAUGUUCAUCAUAGGAUCAUUUAUAACAUCACAGGCAAACUAAAAUUCCAGCAAUAGGGCCAGCAAUAGGGUACUUUUGGAUAAACAAACUAUAAUACAUCUGUAUGAUAAUAGAUUAUCUAUGCAAUAAAAUAUCUUUGAAGAUGAAUUCAUGACAUGAGAAGAUGCUUAUAUUUAUCAAAAAAGAUACAGAAUUUUAUUUAUAAUAAUGAAUACACACACACACACACAUACAUACUGUAUGUGUGUGUGUGUGUGUGUGUGUAUAUAUAUAUAUAUAUAAAUACUUGUAUCUAUCUAUCUGCCUACUACCUACUUACCUACUGACCUAUAUUUGAAAGGAAGGAAAUAAUUGCCAGUGACUCCUGGCAAUGGAGGUAAAACAAUGUACUUUAAUCUUCUCUAGCCUGUAUCAAUGCUUCAGCCUAAUUUGUUUUUUUUAACAGUAGGUACUGAAAAAGUGAAAAUCUCCUUAUUGUGUAAAGUCAAAAAUAAGAAAAAAAUUAACAAUAGCCCAAUCAUUUCUCUUCUAGUUUCCCAUCCCUGGUUCCCAGGGGAAGAUUCUCUAAAUCAGUAUAUUCUUUUUUCAGUGGGUAUGCAUGGGCUCUUCUUGUUUGAAGACUUCACUGCUGCUGCACCUUUAUUUUCUAUUUCUUUGUUUAUUAUAAGUGGAGAAAGUAUUGUGUACUCUUCCCCUAAAGCACAAACCUGACACUGUCCAGCAGAAGGUGGUACUGAAGUCUGUGAGUUCAUUAUCACCUUGAAAAGCAGGCUGUAACCUCUAGGCUCAUCAAUCUGCCAGAAGGAGAGAGAGGAGAAGGAAGAAAAUAUGUUGACAGGUAAGAAGAAACUCAGUCUCAAAUGGUGUGGAAUGAGUAAGAUAUUCACCAGUGUGGUCUUCUCAUCGACUGGGGCUCAGCUGGGACUAUGGCAGGUCCAGGCCACCAAUUUCACUGCCACCACUGUCACCUCCCGCUCCAGCUUCUGUUUAUGAGAAUGAGGCUAAUUUCUCAAUGGUCCCUUACCUUCAAGGCUACUACUUCCAAAAUGGGGUGGGACUAUAGCCUUUUUGGUUUGUUUGUUUGUU